AUAAACGUUUUAUCUAUCUAUCUAUCUCUCUCGUCCGAACACCGAAGUUAAGCAACGUCGGGCGAGGUUAGUACUUGGAUGGGUGACCGCUUGGGAACACCGCUUGCCGUUGUGU
rnacentral:rRNA from 1 species